AGGACAAACGCUGGCGGCGUGCUUAACACAUGCAAGUCGAACGGGUUGCCUUCGGGCAGCUAGUGGCGGACGGGUGAGUAACACGUAGACAACCUGCCCCGAUGUGGGGAAUAACUAUCCGAAAGGAUAGCUAAUACCGCAUAAGUUCUCAUACGUUGGUAUGAGAGGAAACGCUUCUUUAGGGGAGUGGCGUUGGGAGGGGUCUGCGGCGGAUUAGCUAGUUGGAGGGUAACGCCCACCAAGGCGACGAUCCGUAGCUGGUCUGAGAGGACGGCCAGCCACACGUGGGACUGAGACACGGCCCAGACUCCUACGGGAGGCAGCAGUGAGGAAUAUCCACAAUGGGCGAAAGCCUGAGUGGAGCGACGCCGCGUGAAGGAAGAAGCCGUUGGUUAGUAACUUUCGUUUUGAGGAUGACCACG
rnacentral:rRNA from 1 species